AUCAGGUGCAACAAAUGUACGUAUCUUUUUCAUACAGUUUCUUUCGUAUCAUUACGUAGAUUGUGGAUGACCGUCAAGAACACAGACGAUGAAGGUUGAAAGUGACGAUGAGAAACGUCUCAUUAUCACGUCAGAUUAGCAGAAAUACAAUUCACGUUGAUUUGAUAUUAAACAAUAGUAAAAUAUAAAUACUGAUUUAAUUCAUUCGUUAUGACUAUGUUAAUGCAAGGUUUGCGUUUAGCGUUAAACGUGCAAGAGCUAAACUGCCAUGGUUUACAUAACGAAAUUUAAGUACCCUUUCAAGAAACGGUCGUUAAAUCAUACGCGGUUAAUUAUACACAAGCAAGACACGAAUCCUCGUUCGGGUGAACGCGUUUGAAUGUGCCGCGCCAGAAAUCAGAACCCGAACAGCAUACACACACGUGUUCGGCAUAUGUAAUUGACGAAGGAAGGGAAGGGGGGAUAUCCCUUCGUAGUAAUUGAUUGUAAUAAAAAUAUGUGGCGCGUAGCUUUUUGUGCGCAAGUUUAUAAAUAAAUCGUUCGGUGAUCCUGUCUGGAGCGUUUUAUUAGUCUGACGCAUAAAUGCGUGCGAGCACGUUGUAGACAGACGGCCGCAUGCUGCUUUCACCCGUCGAAGGUUGCAUUCGUAAUUAGAGGGAGACGCGCUUUAUUCGCAAAUACUACUUACUAUUUGCUCCUUAAUUUCAGAUCCUUCAAUUUUCUAUACUUUUCCAGAAACAAGUUUAACAAGGUUACUUAUGUAUAAAAAAUAUAACAUGUAUCUCUGUUAUCUUAGAUCGUUCGGUAAUAAAAAGAGACUUGGUGGAGAUAGAACCGAAGGUUAAUGUUUUCACGGUGCGGCUAUCGCGCAUUAAAAUUCUUUUGAGAUCUCGAAGAGUCAUGCGAAUGACUAGGACAAACUUCUUCGGCUCCCUAAGUACAACGAGUCCAAGGCUGAUAUGCCGCAAUCUAACUUUCUGCUGAGGCUGCCUGUCCUCUUCGGUCUGGCACCGAUUGCUAAAUCUUCCGCGCUUCAUUUCUCCUCCAACGCAGUGUACCUCGCGAUAAAAGAGGUUUCAAUUGACUACUUGAAAUCUGACACAAGAAACAAUCAAACAGGAAAUAUUGGACGUAAGUUAAUAAAACAUGGCUUUAUUCGACAUUGUCGAGAGCGGAAGAUGUGAGAAAAAAAACGUUGAGAGCCCGUUUGUUGCACAGGACAAAGAACAUUCUUACGUAUGUAAGGUUUCUUUAUCUUUCAAAUAUUUUUACAUAUUUAAAUGCCUCAUCGCAUUAGUACCGCUGGCAUAACUGAUGAUUGUAUCAAUAUAUCAUCAUUGUUCAAAGAAAAAUAUCAAUUAUAUUGCUUCGUAUUUCAGUCGAUUAUCUCAUUUCUUUAUUUCUUUCUUUUUAUUGGAGACUUUGGACGUAAUUAUUAUCGCAUAAAUAAGUUUAUUAUCAAUAUUAAUCCUGAUGCUGUAAUUGAAUUUUCAAAAAAAGUAAUUCAAAUUUGGUCCAGUUUUUGUUAUUAAAAAAUUUCGAUAUUUUUAAAUAACAUUUAGUAAAAUAAUUUAAUAAAAAUUUUUAAGUCUUAAAAUAGCGUUAGUUUAGUUACUUUAACAGCUUCCAAAAAUCUGUAUAUUCCUACCGAUAAAUUAAGACGAAAAAUGUAAAUUCUUAAUUAUGUGAAUUUUCACCUAAAAUAAAUAUGUGUAAACAGAGUUAAUGUAAAAAGAAUAUGAACAGCGUUUCAGAAUUAAUAAUAUAAAUUUGCUUAUAAAUUUGCUCUGAAUUAAAAACGUGCAAUUUUGCAAAUGCACAUUUUUUAUUUAAAUCUUAGUAACUACUUAAAUUGUGAGGCAUAAUCUUACCUAAAUACUUGAAAGUUUCCCCAUCUUCGUUACUUCAGCCUGUUUAUCCAGAAUAGCAGUCAAAUGUCAUACGAUGUAGUUUGAAGCAUUAAUGAUCAUCAUUACGGGCUCUUCAAGCAGCCGGUCUACAAAUGGCCCCUUCUCACAAUUUGACACUCGCAAACAUCUGAAACGUCACCCAACUUCGAAGUUGGCCAAUACGCACGCAACCCUGAUCGCUCUGUAUGAUUGAUUUUGGAUCAUCCGGCUACCAUGUUACAUUAACUCACACACAGUCGUUCGCCCCGUACGAAAGUACACCGAUCGAUCUAUGCCGGAACGAAAUCUCGUCGGCGAUCUUUUGCGGCUGCAUCCAUCUCCCGAGACCUGUCGACUCUUGGUCGAUCGAUAACGAACCGUGCACCGUGUUUCCGUCCACGUCCUCGCGUCACCCGCCUCGACGUCCGAUAUACUUGCUCUCUCCUUCUCACGAGGGUUUGUGUUAAGGGUUUGAUCGCGGCGACGCGCGAGAUCGCGAUCGAUUCGAUCGAUCGAUCGUUCGGCGGAUAUAACGAAAUCGUGUCCGUCCUCGGCUUUGCAGGCACGUGGUGCGCGCCUCGUCGAGGGGGUUUUCCCUGUCGACGAGGUGGGGGACACUUCGACGAUUCCGCCGACGGUGGGCGAUCGAUCGAUCUCGAGCGCGAUCGACGCGGCUCUCUCCUCGUGCCGGGUGCCCCGAUCUGAUCGUGGGCACCGAACGUCUACGACUGCGGCUGAAAUCUCGAAACCACUCGCGGCGAGCGAGCGAGCGAGCGAGCGAGAGGGCAGGCGGACGAGCGACCGCGAGAGAGCGCACAGCGUUUGCGAGCACGACUUAUUGCUCUACGUGGGAUACGUGCGUAUCGUGUGCGUGUGCACGCUGAAUGUGUGCACGCGUGUAGUCACGCGUAAUCGGCAAGAGAGGGACGAUAUUUUGUUUUGCCGUGGGUGGCAGACUGGAUAAGAAGGACCUCGUUUCCUCCGCAGACUGCCGGAUGGCGACCGAUCGUCUUCCAAGAUUUGGUUGAUUCGGAUAAUUUGUAACAAUUUACAGAACUUGCGAAACUGAUAUAAUCACACAGGAUAAUCAUAACAAGAUACGUUAAUAGAUUCCUUUUUUUUUUUUGAAUAUUCAUUUACUUGUUUUAUCACUUGUAUCUUUUUCCUUUAUCUUUUUCAUCAAAAGAAAUUUAUAACGUCUUAUUUGCUAACAUUGUGCGAGAAUACGUUAGAACGUUAUUUCAUAAUGUCUUAUUCCAAUCUCUUUGUGCGUAAACCAUUUCGGACGACCUUCACUGAACAAGGAGAGCGAUGUCAAUUAUACCCUGGUCGUGCAUGUUAUAACGAAGGCGCCAUUCUUGGAUCUGAUUUACAUGUCAUUUUCCAUUUUCGCUUAAAUAUAAGUCUGUUAUCUUCAUCUGGAAAGACUGCGUUUAAAUGCGUAUAAUCACCGGCUUGCAAUUCAUGAGUGCGAAGCAGCGUGACAAUGAAAAUAAUUUCAUUCAAAAUAAAAAGUAUCAGAAGAGAGAUGGAAAAUGUAAUUCUACUCAAUAAAAUCAAACAAACAGGAUAUACAAAUUACUGUUCUUAAAUCAGAAAAAUUUUUGGAAAUUUUGGAAAACAAUUUUCUUCGUUUCUUUUUUAAUAUAAUGUUAACUAAAUAAUAGAAAAAAAUCAGUUUUCCUUAAUUUUAUUUUUCAGAAUAAUUAAGAACAGUAGAAUCUCAUUAUCACAAUUAUCCUUUUUUUCGUAGAAAAACAAAA
rnacentral:lncRNA from 1 species